ACGUAGGGACCAAGCGUUGUUCGGAUUUACUGGGCGUAAAGGGCGCGUAGGCGGCAUGACAAGUCACUUGUGAAAUCUCUGGGCUUAACCCAGAACGGCCAAGUGAUACUGUCGCGCUAGAGUGCGGAAGGGGCAAUCGGAAUUCUUGGUGUAGCGGUGAAAUGCGUAGAUAUCAAGAGGAACACCUGAGGUGAAGACGGGUUGCUGGGCCGACACUGACGCUGAGUGCGCGAAAGCCAGGGGAGCAAACGGGA
rnacentral:rRNA from 1 species